rnacentral:tRNA from 1 species
GGGCUGUUGGCUCAGUAAUUAAGAGCACUGGCUGUUUUUCCAGAGAACCUGGGUUCAAUUCCCAGAAUCCA